CUACACUCUCACACACAUCACAGAACGUAAUGGAGCUUAAUGCAGGGUCGCUUCAGCUCUCAGGUGGAGAAAUGCAGGAAAACAGGCAGCAGGACGAUUCAGUACUCAGGUGUUCAGUAACAAACACCAUCCAGUAUUUUUCUAGCUGUUGUUAAAUUGUGUUUAAAUUCGCUUUGAGCAAUAAAAUGUAUUUAAUGUCGUGUGUGAGACAUCUUUAACUUUAGACACUGUGUGAAUUUUCAGACCUCAGUGGAGAUAUAAUAGUGGUUUCUCAGGAAACAGUGACUGAUGAGUCUCACACCUACAGCUCCAUCCCCAACAUUCAGCUGAACACCAGAGACACAGACGCAGUGUACAGUUUGGUGAAUAAACACUGAUGCAUAUUAAACCCUACAGAAUGUACAUCGUUACACACAGGAUUAUUCUGGUCUCCUUUGUUCUUUUUUCUCCUUUGACUUCUGUUGGCUUUGUAAUUGAGUGCAGACUGAAUAAUGCAGUCACUGAACUGCAGGCUUGUAGGAUGAUGUCUAAGUUUCUCCAGAUGAACGUGAAGUUGUUCCAGAAAGUGGACCGAUUAUUUGUAUCCAUAAAAUGUUUUCUAUUGAACUGUGGAAAUAAAAAUUCUAAACUGUC